GGGGGUAUAGCUCAGCUGGGAGAGUGAUUGAAUGGCAUUCGAGAUGUCAGCGGUUUGAUCCCGCGUAUCUCCA
rnacentral:tRNA from 1 species